rnacentral:lncRNA from 1 species
CGGGCAACGGUUGCUAAUUGCGGAGAUUCGCGUUCUCUCUUGCCCCGGGUGCGGCGCGGUGCGUUCGGUCCCGGGCAACCUCUCCGCCGCUGGCAGCGCGCAGCGAACCCUUCCGCAGAUGUCUUAGGGCGGGGGAUGCUCCGCGCUGCGGGUCCGCGGCUGUGCCGGGCGGGGACGGCAGAGGGCAGAGCCGCCCCGCGCAUCCCGGGGCUCUGCCGCUCAGCUGGAGCCCAGCACGGCUCCGUCGGAAGCUGGGGGGAAACCUGCGACGCCUGGGAAAGUCUUCAAGGCAAACAGGAAGGGCGUCGCCAACCGCAGCCCCACAGGUGCGACUCGAAGAUGCGCACCGCCCCCCGUGACGCCGAGAAGGGAAGGGGACUCGCCGUUCACCGCGUGUUUUCGCCGAGCAGCGGUGUCACGGCGCCUUUGGGAGCCUUGUCCCGACCCCACCGCAAACCCACCCGGGGCCUCGAAAGAAUAAUAGUGGGAAAGGGGCUGCAGGCAGCACAGCGGUAUGGGUGUGGGGCCAGCAAGAGCUACCCCCGGAGCAGUGGGUGCCCCCCGCCGUGCAGUGUGGGGUUCCCUUGGGAGCAGCUGCAGGAAGGAGACAGGCGCAGGGCAGCAGGCGGCUGUGCCUCACCGCAUCCCCACGGCCCUGCGCUUUCAUCUCCCCAGCCCACACAAAGGGUGCCACCGAGAUGCAUGAAAAAGCAAGAGCAACAUGGGAGUGGGCCCCGGGGCAGCCGCCCUUCAUCUGCUCUGCUCGGAGUGACAGCCUACAACGACCUGCCACUCACCGGGCAGGCUGCACCCCGUGCCCGCAGCCCGCGGGCGCACACCGCACGUAGGCACUCCCCCUGCGCUCAGCCCCUCGAUGGGGGCGCAGCUCCUGCACCCGUGAACGUGGGGAGCCCCGGGAAUCGCUGCCCUCCCGCAGCCCGGUGCCGUGCCCAAGAUACCCGGCGCACAGCGGCCGUUCCCAGCCUCCCUCCCUCCGCAUCCAGCUGUUUUCUCAGUGCAGGAUCCAGACAGAGAGGGGGGUAAAAUGUUUUCAUUCCAAGCUCCCGG